AUUGAACGCUGGCGGCAGGCCUAACACAUGCAAGUCGAACGGUAACAGGAAGAAGCUUGCUUCUUUGCUGACGAGUGGCGGACGGGUGAGUAAUGUCUGGGAAACUGCCUGAUGGAGGGGGAUAACUACUGGAAACGGUAGCUAAUACCGCAUAACGUCGCAAGACCAAAGAGGGGUACAUUCGGGCCUCUUGCCAUCGGAUGUGCCCAGUUGGGAUUAGCUAGUAGGUGGGGUAACGGCUCACCUAGGCGACGAUCCCUAGCUGGUCUGAGAGGAUGACCAGCCACACUGGAACUGAGACACGGUCCAGACUCCUACGGGAGGCAGCAGUGGGGAAUAUUGCACAAUGGGCGCAAGCCUGAUGCAGCCAUGCCGCGUGUAUGAAGAAGGCCUUCGGGUUGUAAAGUACUUUCAGCGGGGAGGAAGGGAGUAAAGUUAAUACCUUUGCUCAUUGACGUUACCCGCAGAAGAAGCACCGGCUAACUCCGUG
rnacentral:rRNA from 1 species